rnacentral:rRNA from 1 species
CAGGCUUAACACAUGCAAGUCGAGGGGCAGCAUGGUCUUAGCUUGCUAAGGCCGAUGGCGACCGGCGCACGGGUGAGUAACACGUAUCCAACCUGCCGUCUACUCUUGGACAGCCUUCUGAAAGGAAGAUUAAUACAAGAUGGCAUCAUGAGUCCGCAUGUUCACAUGAUUAAAGGUAUUCCGGUAGACGAUGGGGAUGCGUUCCAUUAGAUAGUAGGCGGGGUAACGGCCCACCUAGUCUUCGAUGGAUAGGGGUUCUGAGAGGAAGGUCCCCCACAUUGGAACUGAGACACGGUCCAAACUCCUACGGGAGGCAGCAGUGAGGAAUAUUGGUCAAUGGGCGAGAGCCUGAACCAGCCAAGUAGCGUGAAGGAUGACUGCCCUAUGGGUUGUAAACUUCUUUUAUAAAGGAAUAAAGUCGGGUAUGGAUACCCGUUUGCAUGUACUUUAUGAAUAAGGAUCGGCUAACUCCGUGCCAGCAGCCGCGGUAAUACGGAGGAUCCGAGCGUUAUCCGGAUUUAUUGGGUUUAAAGGGAGCGUAGAUGGAUGUUUAAGUCAGUUGUGAGAGUUUGCGGCUCAACCGUAAAAUUGCAGUUGAUACUGGAUAUCUUGAGUGCAGUUGAGGCAAGCGGAAUUCGUGGUGUAGCGGUGAAAUGCUUAGAUAUCACGAAGAACUCCGAUUGCGAAGGCAGCCUGCUAAGCUGCAACUGACAUUGAGGCUCGAAAGUGUGGGUAUCAAACAGGAUUAGAUACCCUGGUAGUCCACACGGUAAACGAUGAAUACUCGCUGUUUGCGAUAUACAGCAAGCGGCCAAGCGAAAGCGUUAAGUAUUCCACCUGGGGAGUACGCCGGCAACGGUGAAACUCAAAGGAAUUGACGGGGGCCCGCACAAGCGGAGGAACAUGUGGUUUAAUUCGAUGAUACGCGAGGAACCUUACCCGGGCUUAAAUUGCAGAUGAAUUACGGUGAAAGCCGUAAGCCGCAAGGCAUCUGUGAAGGUGCUGCAUGGUUGUCGUCAGCUCGUGCCGUGAGGUGUCGGCUUAAGUGCCAUAACGAGCGCAACCCUUGUUGUCAGUUACUAACAGGUUCCGCUGAGGACUCUGACAAGACUGCCAUCGUAAGAUGUGAGGAAGGUGGGGAUGACGUCAAAUCAGCACGGCCCUUACGUCCGGGGCUACACACGUGUUACAAUGGGGGGUACAGAGGGCCGCUACCACGCGAGUGGAUGCCAAUCCCCAAAACCUCUCUCAGUUCGGACUGGAGUCUGCAACCCGACUCCACGAAGCUGGAUUCGCUAGUAAUCGCGCAUCAGCCACGGCGCGGUGAAUACGUUCCCGGGCCUUGUACACACCGCCCGUCAAGCCAUGGGAGCCGGGGGUACCUGAAGUGCGUAACCGCGAGGAGCGCCCUAGGGUAAAACUGGUGACUGGGGC